rnacentral:lncRNA from 1 species
UCGCCGUCAGCCCAACACGGGAGGAGAGAGCCACGCUCCGCCUCGCCCGACCCAGUGUCCCGGGGUCGGACGUCCCCGACCCCUUGAAGACCAAACUCCGCCUCGCCCGACCUGCGGGCCUAGGGUCGGGAGCGCCUGACUCCCCGCCGCAAGACUCCGCCUCGCCCGACUCCGGGCACAGGGGGUCGGACUCACUCGAGCCCACCAGACAAGUAUCCACCUCGGGCGCGGAUCUCGUGGGUCCCACCACAAGUACCCAUGCGCGGCCGCGUG